rnacentral:lncRNA from 1 species
AAAAAUAUUACUGAAUCAGAGAAACUAAGGUUCAGAGACAUAAAGUCACUUGCUGACGUUUAUUUAAUGGCAAAGCCAGACCCCAUGUCUCCAAAUCCUGUGGGCUUUUCCCUCACGUUGCCUCUCCACACCCCAGUGGCCUUGAUGAUGCUCAAGUUACACCAUCCCUUCGAUCUCCUUUCUCCAGGGCAUCUGCUCCCAACUGCUAGAAGAUGCUCUGGACCAGAAUAGCAGUUGCUGUCAGUAUCGGAAGUUCUCCCUGCUGUCUGCCCUCAAGGCUUCCCACUGUACUGCCCUGGCCCUGGGCUCACCUGAGAUUGCUGGGGAAAAGAAAGGGUCAACCGGGAGGUUUAGACACGUGGAGAAGGAGUGUGCCUGGCUCUACCAGUUGGAACUGGGAUCAGAAGUGGAGCUGAGGAGGCUGGUCCAGGGAGAAUGCAGUGCUAAGAGACGAUGCUGCUGACAAGCCCGGCCUCAGGCUGGAGUCAGACUGCCCUGAUAUUACAUUACUGAGGCACACUAGGCUAAGGCUGACAACACCAAAUGCUGGCAGGAAUGUGGAGCAACAGGAACAGGAAUUCGUGGCUGAUGGGAAUG